AUAUCGAAACGGCAAACCCGGGGAAACCCGGCGGCGCAAAGCUACAGGGGCUACCUCCGCCGCGUGCGGACACGCCAGCCAGUUACCGAA
rnacentral:ncRNA from 1 species